AGUGGCGGACGGGUGAGUAACGCGUGGGUAACCUGCCUUUCGACUGGGGGAUAACAGUUAGAAAUGACUGCUAAUACCGCAUAAGCGCACGGGUUCGCAUGAACUAGUGUGAAAAACUCCGGUGGUGAAAGAUGGACCCGCGUCUGAUUAGAUAGUUGGUGAGGUAACGGCCCACCAAGUCAACGAUCAGUAGCCGGCCUGAGAGGGUGAACGGCCACAUUGGGACUGAGACACGGCCCAAACUCCUACGGGAGGCAGCAGUGGGGAAUAUUGCACAAUGGGGGAAACCCUGAUGCCAGCGACGCCGCGUGAGUGAAGAAGUAUUUCGGUAUGUAAAGCUCUAUCAGCAGGGAAGAAAAUGACGGUACCUGACUAAGAAGCCCCGGCUAACUACGUGCCAGCCGCCGC
rnacentral:rRNA from 1 species